ACUCCCUCCGUCCUAGUAUAUAAGGCGUAACCACUUUUUAUUCAUGUCCUAUAAUAUAAGGCGUGCUCUCUCACAAACAUUAAUGUAGUAGUACUAGUGCUGAGAGAGAAUUAAAUGCGUUCUUGGUCUUUGAACCAGAGGUAGUUGCGCCUUAUAUACUGGGACGGAGGGAGU
rfam:Sorghum bicolor cultivar BTx623 chromosome 3, whole genome shotgun sequence.